GGCAUUCCGAAGGGGAGCCCCAUGACUGGGGCUGAGAGGCCGGAAACCAUGCCGGCGACCCUUGGAACCUGAUCCGGGUCAUUCCGGCGAAGGGAUCGGAACCUCGCUCUUC
rnacentral:ncRNA from 1 species